AACGGAAAGGCCCUUCGGGGUACUCGAGUGGCGAACGGGUGAGUAACACGUGGGCAACCUGCCCCUAGCUCUGGGAUAACACCGGGAAACCGGUGCUAAUACCGGAUACACACUUUUUGAGGCAUCUCAGAUGGUGGAAAGUUUUUCGGCUAGGGAUGGGCCCGCGGCCUAUCAGCUUGUUGGUGGGGUAAUGGCCUACCAAGGCGACGACGGGUAGCCGGCCUGAGAGGGCGACCGGCCACACUGGGACUGAGACACGGCCCAGACUCCUACGGGAGGCAGCAGUGGGGAAUAUUGCGCAAUGGGCGAAAGCCUGACGCAGCGACGCCGCGUGAGGGAUGACGGCCUUCGGGUUGUAAACCUCUUUCAGCUCUGACGAAGC
rnacentral:rRNA from 1 species